rnacentral:lncRNA from 7 species
GUACUACUCUGUGCCUCUCACAUCAAAAUUCAUCUUUGGAAAGUACCCUUAAACAAAAGAUUAUAUAUAUUAGAGAUAGAAUGUUAUCCACUGGGUAAGACUAGUGAAUUGGACUGAUCGAAUUGGUAAAUGGCAAUGAAAGCCCUCCAUCGGUUUCGCAUAGUUGUUCCCCCCUGGCGUGAUUUUCUACUGCAUGGAAAUCAUUGUCAGUUUCUGACGAGGCUCUACCGCUCUAGCUGCAAAAAUCAAUCAACACAUGGAUGCUGCCCCUCAGCUUAAAUUUC